GCCCUAGUAGCUUAGCCACUAAAU
rnacentral:tRNA from 1 species